rnacentral:rRNA from 1 species
CCUACGGGCGGCAGCAGUGGGGAAUAUUGGACAAUGGGCGAAAGCCUGAUCCAGCCAUGCCGCGUGUGUGAAGAAGGCCUUCGGGUUGUAAAGCACUUUCAGUGGGGAAGAAAGCCUUGGGGCUAAUACCCUCGAGGAAGGACAUCACCCACAGAAGAAGCACCGGCUAACUCCGUGCCAGCAGCCGCGGUAAUACGGAGGGUGCGAGCGUUAAUCGGAAUUACUGGGCGUAAAGCGCGCGUAGGCGGUCUGAUAAGCCGGUUGUGAAAGCCCCGGGCUCAACCUGGGAACGGCAUCCGGGAUGGUCAGGCGAAGUGGAAGGAGAGGAGGGUAGAAUCCCCGGGGUGGCGGGGAAUUGGGUAGAGAGGGGGAGGAAAACCAGUGGGGAAGGGGGCCUUCAGGACUGACACUGCCGCUGAGGUGCGAAAGCGUGGGUAGAAAACAGGAUUAGAUACCCCUGUAGUC